UACGUAGGUGGCAAGCGUUAUCCGGAUUCACUGGGCGUAAAGAGCGCGUAGGUGGUCCUUCAAGUCAGAUGUGAAAAAUCCCGGCUUAACUGGGACAGGCCAUCUGAUACUGCUGGACUUGAGGAUGGUAGAGGGAGGUGGAAUUCCCGGUGUAGUGGUGAAAUGCGUAGAUAUCGGGAGGAACACCAGUGGCGAAAGCGGCCUCCUAGGCCAUUCCUGACACUGAGGCGCGAAAGCGUGGGGAG
rnacentral:rRNA from 1 species